rnacentral:rRNA from 1 species
UACGUAGGGGGCUAGCGUUGUCCGGAAUCAUUGGGCGUAAAGCGCGUGUAGGCGGUCCGGUAAGUCCGCUGUGAAAGUCGGGGGCUCAACCCUGGAAUGCCGGUGGAUACUGUCGGGCUCGAAUCCGGAAGAGGUGAGUGGAAUUCCUGGUGUAGCGGUGAAAUGCGCAGAUAUCAGGAGGAACACCAAUGGCGAAGGCAGCUCGCUGGGACGUUACUGACGCUGAGACGCGAAAGCGUGGGGAGCAAACAGG